rnacentral:rRNA from 1 species
AUUGAACGCUGGCGGCAGGCCUAACACAUGCAAGUCGAGCGGAGCGGCGGACGGGUGAGUAAUGCCUAGGAAUCUGCAUGGUAGUGGGGGAUAACGUUCGGAAACGGGCGCUAAUACCGCAUGCUAUCAGAUGAGCCUAGGUCGGAUUGGCUAGUUGGUGGGGUAAAGGCCUACCAAGGCGACGAUCCGUAACUGGUCUGAGAGGAUGAUCAGUCACACUGUAACUGAUACACGGUCCAGACUCCUACGAGAGUCAGCAGUGGGGAAUAUUGGACAAUGGGCGGCAGCCUGAUACAGCCAUGCCGCGUGUGUGAAGAAGGUCUUCGGAUUGUAAAGCACUUUAAGUUGGGAGGCGUUACCAACAGAAUAAGCACCGGCUAACUUCGUGCCAGCAGCCGCGGUAAUAC